rnacentral:rRNA from 1 species
GUGAGGAAUAUUGGUCAAUGGACGAGAGUCUGAACCAGCCAAGUCGCGUGAAGGAAGACGGUUCUAUGAAUUGUAAACUUCUUUUGUGCAGGAAUAAAGUGGGUUACGUGUAACCUUUUGUAUGUACUGUACGAAUAAGGAUCGGCUAACUCCGUGCCAGCAGCCGCGGUAAUACGGAGGAUCCGAGCGUUAUCCGGAUUUAUUGGGUUUAAAGGGUGCGUAGGUGGAUUGAUAAGUCAGCGGUGAAAGUUUGCAGCUUAACUGUAAAAUUGCCGUUGAAACUGUCGGUCUUGAGUGCAAAUGAGGUAGGCGGAAUGUGUUGUGUAGCGGUGAAAUGCUUAGAUAUUACAUGGAAUACCAAUUGCGAAGGCAGGUUACUACUUGUGGAUUGACGCUGAUGGACGAAAGCGUGGGGAGCGAACAGGAUUAGAUACCCCGGUAGUCC